CGCGUAGGCGGGAUUUUAAGUCAGGUGUGAAAACUCUGGGCUCAACCUGGAGAUUGCACUUGAAACUGGAAUUCUUGAGGACAGGAGAGGAAAGUGGAAUUCCUAGUGUAGCGGUGAAAUGCGUAGAUAUUAGGAGGAACACCAGUGGCGAAGGCGACUUUCUGGACUGUAACUGACGCUGAGGCGCGAAAGCGUGGGGAGUGAACG
rnacentral:rRNA from 1 species